UGCAAUUCUUGCCAGCUGUCCUAAAUUAGAGAACUGUGCUUCAGCCCAAAAAAACCUUCCUUCCAAUUACUCUAGCAAAGCAACUGUUUAUAUGUGGUCAGGCAGUGAACCAGACCGCACCAGUGCUGCUAGACUAUAAAAAAAAAAAAAAAAAAAAAAAGCGUGGAUUACUUGGGCCAGUUCCCAGUCAGGUUUAUCAGGAAGCUCUAGAGAUGGUGACACUGGCACAGCUGAGUGGGAGGAGGUAUGAGCUGCUGAGGGCGUGAGUGAAGAGAAUGCUGCGUAAGCUGCCUUGCUGCCAAGGAAAAUGUCUUUGCAAGGGAGAAAGAAGAAAAUCAACACUGCAUCUUUGAUCUUUGCUCAAAUGAUCGAUGGAUUCAUUUCAUGUUAACUGAAGCAGCAGCCAAUCAAGAUUAAAUUAAGUAAAGGGCCAGACAUAGCUACUCGUGGGAGGCCGUCAUCAGAAAGCGUCACUGCUAUUGAGUAACACUGCUAUAGCGGAAACAGCGCAUAUUCUGGAGUUCUAGUCUGUGUUUAGAUGGAUCAGAAAUCCACACUUGAACAAAACAGAGCUUUCCAAAGAAUUUGUAAGUUCUUUCUGCAAAGAUAAAAAUCAAACAUCUGGCAUACAGCUAUGUCCCUUCUGCAUGGCAACAACCCCACUCUUCUCCCUCAAAGUAAUUAAAUUCUCAAAGCAAUUAAACACUUUGGCUCAUUCUGGAUGCUGAAAAACAUAAGAAUUAAAUAACUCUACCUUGACAUGAAACUCAUCAUCCAGCAAAAUAUUCUGGGUUUUCAAGUCAUGGUGCAGCAAUGGAGGAUUCAUGUUGUGCAAAUAGUUUACUCCCAAAGCAAUUUCAUAAAGAAUGCGGUAUCUCAGGCACCAGGGAACGUCGGGAUACAUAUCUUUCUGCCAAAAUAAAACCACAAAACCAGAAUAUAAUCCUCUGUUCUGAUCUGACAAGAUAACACAAAGGCUUUCAUAAUAAUAAGAAAGUGAGUUGGACAAGCAGUAAUCUUUUAAAACAUAUAUUACAUUAACUGCACAUUGAUACUGGCUAGCUGUUAAAACAAAUAUAUAAAUAUUAAUCAUGCAUGUUAUGAUGUUACACUUCCAAUCCCCUAACAUUCAUACAGUUCAUGACUGCUAUACAUAAUUUGUAUAUAGGACAUUUACCGCA